CAAUGGGCAUGGUUUCACCUCGUGUGUGUCUUGUACCCUUUGUUGACUUUCCUCAUCUCACGCUUGAGCUCAACACAGGUUAGAGGAUUGUUAGGUUUUUCCCUGCCGCCGCCGCCGCCGUAUCUAUCUGCCCAUCUCCGGCGAUUGGAGUCUUGAUCUCUUCUGGCUGGAGGAUUGGCUCCUCUCGCCCUGAAGCCCUCCUUCCUUGAGCAGCCCCUCUUGCCUCUUCACCAUAGGCCGAGGCCGAAGCGGGGGCACACCGGCGCCGCCCCGAGAUACUCUAUUGGCAGUGCGAAUCGACGCUGCCACCCAAGAUCUUCAACUACCCUUCCGCAUCCCUGCACCAACGACCAUGCGGCAGCAGCAGAUCCAUGGCGGGACGAUCUUGGCGGUUGGGAAGAGGACGCACUUGGACCAAGGACUAAACAUUGUGACCUGCACUGCUGGACUUUCUCUUGCUUACCGGAAAAUGGAGUGUCCAAUGGACACUCUGCUAUGGAGGAGGAAGAGGAAUGGAUGAUGAGAAAUUUCAUCACUACACAUUAUAUGUAAUAAACAUGCUCAUUAUUAGAUUUUUAUUGCAUCAUUAUUAAAUUUUCAUUAGCGGGAGAGACAAUUGCAUACUGCUCAGCCUAUUUGUUAGAGAGGAUUGUAGUGUCUGGCUUGGACAAGCGAAAAUGUACAUCUGCCCAGCUGUGGUAUCUCAUGUUUGACUUCCCUGAAAUCUGAAAUGUCCGGAACUGCUCAAAUUUAUAGGUCGGCAUCUUAAAUUUUCUUUCUUAGAUAGAUGCUUCUUUAUUACGAGUUGAUUUUGUGGUGUUGACAGAGUUUGCUGAAUAAUUAGAUUCUUAGAUGCAGUUCUUAAAUAUGGAUGAGAUACCGGAAAGGAGACUUGUGGUUCCACUUUCUUUUAUAUCCUCUUCCUCGACCUGAUUUACUUUUCUGAUAAUGCAACAAGCUGGACAAUAAUUAGAGGGCAGCAGAUGAGACUGGGUAUUGUCGUGGGAUGUGUCAGCACAUGCGUGUCUCUCCCAUUAUGACGACCUGGCUGCCUAUCUUCCCAGAAUGUAGGCCUUGAUCAAGCGGAAUGACUCCCCUCAGUUUGUUCAUUGUAGUACCAUCACUGAGCAUGACUUUUGUAAUUGAAAGGUAUGAACUCCGAGUUAUUUCUCUUCCUAAAACAGUAGACAUUGCAACCAGCCGAUCAUGUAAAGUGGGUCUUAAGAACCUCUGGUCAUAAAAAAAAGUUUCCUAUAGUGUUUUGCAAGAUAUACCCAGCAGAACUUUACUGAAUCUUCUAAGCUUGAUGGCAGUGUGUAUCAGAUAUUGCAUAUAUGAUCACUUCCUGUAAUGAUCGGCCAUGUAGAAAAACUUUAAAAGACAGGCAAAUAAAAACGACAAGCAGCAGCUAAAACAGAAAUAACUAAAAAUAUAACUUUUUCCAAGAAAGUUUCAUUUGUGCUCUCCACAGGGAUGGCUCAAACGAUAAGACAUGUUAUUCACGAUAACCCUUUUUUCGAAAUUAUAUUCCUUCUUUUAUACAACUUAGCAUUGAUGACUCACAGUUGUACAACACUAGGUUCUGCAGUCAUGUAAGUCGGAUCAUAAGAACCUAUGUUCAUUUCAUUAGAAAAACUCAAAGUUUACAAACAGUGUAUUGCAAGAGACCCAGUAGAACUGCAUUGAAUCUUCGAAACUUGACUGCAGAAUAUAGAGUUUUGCCUUAUAAAGUUCUCAGUCUUAGUACUUUAGUUACCUUCAGCCAAUGAAGAAACUGAGUUGGAAAGUGAAAAUAUUAUGCAUCUCAACAUAAAUUAAGGUAUUUACUAUCUCUAAUUGUUCUUUUUUCAGUGUAGUUCAUUCUGAUCUAGGCUUCCAACGUAUAAAUGUUCUAGAAACAUAAUUUUGUCUUCAAACACAAAUUCAGUCUACUCAUUGGUUUGAUUCAUUUUUUCACAUCUGCCCCCUUCUUGUGUUGUUCAUUGUUUAGUGCAAAAACAUCCCGCAGUGGCACAUAUGAACUGUAGAGAGGAGUUCCUAAGUUAAACUGAGUUUUCUUUGUGCUAGCUGCAUACACUAACUAGAUUAUUAUCAUUGCAUGUCGUUAUAUGCAAGAACCAAACUUCACUCUAAUUUUGUUUUGGCAGCAAAUUAUUGAAUCAUUCUGUUUUCGGAUAGUUGCCAUGUGGUAGUAUCAUAAGUAGCUAAUAUAUGGUUUCUCCUCAUUUAUUUGCAGAUUAAACAUUCCAACGAUAUUCUGUAGAUGAUAUUAACGGACGAAAGGAAGACCUGCUUCACAUUGUUGUUGUAGCAGAUUUAGUAUUUGAACUGAUUAUGUCAUUUUGAUUCAACAAUUUCACUAAGUUUACUUAUUCUAUAUUGCUUAGUAUUAUCUGAUCGUCCUGAUUGCAUAAAUAAUGAUCACACAUGUUCAGAUCUGAAAUUUAUACAAGGUGUUUAUGUUUAGUAUUUUA